rnacentral:rRNA from 1 species
GCUUGCUUCUUUGCCGGCGACCGGCGCACGGUGAGUAACACGUAUCCAACCUGCCCUUACUCGGGGAUAGCCUUUCGAAAGAAAGAUUAAUACCCGAUGGCAUAAUGAUUCCGCAUGGUUUCAUUAUUAAAGGAUUCCGGUAAAGGAUGGGGAUGCGUUCCAUUAGGUUGUUGGUGAGGUAACGGCCCACCAAGCCUUCGAUGGAUAGGGGUUCUGAGAGGAAGGUCCCCCACAUUGGAACUGAGACACGGUCCAAACUCCUACGGGAGGCAGCAUG